rnacentral:lncRNA from 1 species
UUUCAUGUAAGAAAUUGGGUGGGUGAGGGGGGGUGGGGAAAUUAUUUCAGUUUAAUCCAAGUCUCCAAAACGUUUCCCAGUUGGCAAUCAUACUGAAAAUAAAUGCAAUAAUUCAUGUAGCCGUACACACUUUGCACUCAGUAGCGAUGAGUUACACAAAUACCUAUAUUUCAUUUUAAGGCAUUCGUUUACACAGUGAAGUAGCAAGACUAAGCAUGGGAAUAUAUGUUUCAGAUUCAGCGCCUGGAUUUGUGAGCACAUACGAUGGACAUGGGUGAUAGAAAUUUUUUAUUUUGCAGAAACAGUUCUAUUUCUGAACUGUUGUGUGCAAGAGGUGAUGUUCAUGAGAAGAGUCUAAUGUAUUCCACACCAAAUUAAAACACAGGCCAACAGAAGACAGCUAUUCAUCACCAGCAAUGGGAAGAGGGAAAAACACGUAAUAACUCCUCUACUAUCUUUUAAAGUGUCUUCAGGUGAGUAAAAUGAAAGUGGGUGCGGCCAUUAUGCUUCAAAUAACACAAAGCAUAUAAAUAUGAUGGAGGCAUUCUCCUCUUCUUGCAUUUUGCUUUGUUAUGUGAAGCCUAGAAGAUGAUAAUGUGAAUGCCAAAUGUAGUAAGCAAGAGACCCAGAAGAAUGAAAAUGAGCUAAAGGGUUAGGGCAUUGGUAUAACUAAGAGGGAAAAAGAAGAACCCAUGGCCCCCUGAGGUGGCUCUGUUUCCAUCAGCUCCAUGGGUUUAACAUCCUUCUGCUUUGCUGUAAGUAAGUGGCUACCUCCAGCUUCUCUUGCUAUGGUAGUCUGAGCACCUCUUGAAAUAUUUCUGCCCUGAGGUCUGAUUUCCUGUAAGAACUUGGAUUCUUCAGCGGCC